UUCCGGUUGAUCCUGCCGGACCUGACUGCUAUCGGAUUGAUACUAAGCCAUGCGAGUCAUUGUAGCAAUACAAGGCAGACGGCUCAGUAACGCGUAGUCAACCUACCCUAUGGACGGGAAUAACCUCGGGAAACUGAGUAUAAUGCCCGAUAGAACAUUAUACCUGGAAUGGUUUAUGUUCCAAAUGAUUUAUCGCCGUAGGAUGGGACUGCGGCCUAUCAGUUUGUUGGUGAGGUAAUGGCCCACCAAGACUAUUACAGGUACGGGCUCUGAGAGGAGUGGCCCGGAGAUGGGUACUGAGACACGGACCCAGGCCCUAUGGGGCGCAGCGGGCGAGAAAACUUUGCAAUGUGCGAAAGCACGACAAGGUUAAUCCGAGUGGUUUCUGCUAAAGGAACCUUUUGUUAGUCCUAAAAACACUAACGAAUAAGGGGUGGGCAAGUUCUGGUGUCAGCCGCCGCGGUAAAACCAGCACCUCAAGUGGUCAGGAUGAUUAUUGGGCCUAAAGCAUCCGUAGCCGGCUCUGUAAGUUUUCGGUUAAAUCUGUACGCUUAACGUACAGGCCGCCGGAAAUACUGCAGAGCUAGGGAGUGGGAGAGGUAGACGGUACUCGGGAGGAAGUGGUAAAAUGCUUUGAUCUCUCGAUGACCACCUGUGGCGAAGGCGGUCUACCAGAACACGUCCGACGGUGAGGGAUGAAAGCUGGGGGAGCAAACCGGAUUAGAUACCCGGGUAGUCCCAGCUGUAAACUAUGCAAACUCAGUGAUGCGUUGGCUUGUGGCCAAUGCAGUGUUGCAGGGAAGCCGUUAAGUUUGCCGCCUGGGAAGUACGUACGCAAGUAUGAAACUUAAAGGAAUUGGCGGGGGAGCACCACAAGGGGUGAAGCCUGCGGUUCAAUUGGAGUCAACGCCGGGAAUCACUA
rnacentral:rRNA from 1 species